GAGAGAGAGAGAGAGAGAGAAGAAGAGAGAGCGAGAGAGAGAGAGAGAGAAGAAGAGAGAGCGAGAGAAAGGAAGAGAGAGAGAAGAAGAGAGCGAGAGAAAGGAAGAGAGAGAGAGGAGUCGGGGAAGAAAGAGCAUUUCAGAAACACCCUGCUGUCAAAUAGAUGAGUAGCUGACAGACAAGCUGUUGUGGACUUGAACUAGCUGGUAGUAUAGUAAAGUAACUUCAACAGUAUAGUAACUGUGGUAGUAAAGUAACUUUAACAGUAUAGUAACUGUAAUAGUAAAGUAACUUUAACAAUAUAGUAACUGUGGUAGUAAAGUAACUUUAACAGUAUAGUAACUGUAAUAGUAAAGUAACUUUAACAGUAAAGUAACUUUAACAGUAUAGUAAUUGUGAUAGUAAAGUAACUUUAACAGUAUAGUAACUGUGAUAGUAAAGUAACUUUAACAGUAUAGUAACUGUGAUAGUAAAGUAACUUCAACAGUAUAGUAACUGAGGAGUAACUGUCCAGAAUGAAGAUAAUCCAUGUUAUCUCUUGCUGUCUCCUCUCAGGACCUGAGCCCUAGGACAAUGCCUCAGGACUACCUGGCAUGAUGACUCCUUGCUGUCCCCAGUCCACCUGGCCGUGCUGCUGCUCCAGUUUCAACUGUUCUGCCUGUGAUUAUUAUUAUUUGACCAUGCUGGUCAUUUAUGAACAUUUGAACAUCUUGGCCAUGUUCUGUUAUAAUCUCCACCCGGCUCAGCCAGAAGAGGACUGGCCACCCCUCAUAGCCUGGUUCCUCUCUAGGUUUCUUCCUGGGUUUUGGCCUUUCUAGGGAGUUUUUCCUAGCCACCGUGCUUCUACACCUGCAUUGCUUGCUGUUUGGGGUUUCAGGCUGGGUUUCUGUGCAGCACUUUGAGAUAUCAGCUGAUGUACGAAGGGCUAUAGAAAUACAUUUGAUUUGAUUGGAUUUUUAUUUGACAUAACCAUUCCCACAGUAGAGUGACAUAACCAUUCCCACUGUAAAGUAACAUAACCAUUCCCACAGUAGAGUGACAUAACCAUUCCCACAGUAGAGUGACAUAACCAUUCCCACAGUAGGGUGACAUAACCAUUCCCACAGUAGGGUGACAUAACCAUUCCCACUGUAAAGUAACAUAACCAUUCCCCUAGUAGAGUGACAUAACCAUUCCCAUAGUAGAGUGACAUAACCAUUCCCACAGUAGAGUGACAUAACCAUUCCCACAGUAGGGUGACAUAACCAUUCCCACUGUAAGGUGACAUAACCAUUCCCACUGUAAGGUGACAUAACCAUUCCCACUGUAAGGUGACAUAACCAUUCCCACUGUAAGGUGACAUAACCAUUCCCACUGUGCAGUGACAUAGCCAUUCCCAUAGUAGGGUGACAUAACCAUUCCCACUGUAAGGUGACAUAACCAUUCCCACUGUAGGGUGACAUAACCAUUCCCACUGUAAAGUAACAUAACCAUUCCCAUAGUAGAGUGACAUAGCCAUUCCCACAGUAGGGUGACAUAACCAUUCCCACUGUAGAGUGACAUAACCAUUCCCACUGUGGAGUGACAUAGCCAUUCCCAUAGUAGGGUGACAUAACCAUUCCCACUGUAAGGUGACAUAACCAGUCCCAUAGUAGAGUGACAUAACCAUUCCCACUGUUGGGUGACAUAACCAUUAAUAAUGUAGGGUGACAUAACAAUUCCCACAGUAGGGUGACAUAACCAUUCCCACUGUAAAGUAACAUAACCAUUCCCACUGUGGAGUGACAUAGCCAUUCCCAUAGUAGGGUGACAUAACCAUUCCCACUGUAAGGUGACAUAACCAUUCCCACUGUAGGGUGACAUAACCAUUCCCACUGUAAAGUAACAUAACCAUUCCCAUAGUAGAGUGACAUAGCCAUUCCCACAGUAGGGUGACAUAACCAUUCCCACUGUAGAGUGACAUAACCAUUCCCACUGUGGAGUGACAUAGCCAUUCCCAUAGUAGGGUGACAUAACCAUUCCCACUGUAAGGUGACAUAACCAUUAAUAAUGUAGGGUGACAUAACCAUUCCCACAGUAGGGUGACAUAACCAUUCCCACUGUUGGGUGACAUAACCAUUAAUAAUGUAGGGUGACAUAACCAUUCCCACAGUAGGGUGACAUAACCAUUCCCACUGUAAAGUAACAUAACCAUUCCCACUGUAAGGUGACAUACCAUUCCCACUGUAGGGUGACAUACCAUUCCCACUGUAAAGUAACAUAACCAUUCCCACUGUAAGGUGACAUACCAUUCCCACUGUAGGGUGACAUAACCAUUCCCACUGUAAAGUAACAUAACCAUUCCCACUGUAAGGUGACAUACCAUUCCCACUGUAAGGUGACAUACCAUUCCCACUGUAGAGUGACAUAACCAUUCCCACUGUAAGGUGACAUAACCAUUCCCACAGUAGAGUGACAUAACCAUUCCCACAGUAGAGUGACAUAACCAUUCCCAUAGUAGGGUGACAUAACCAUUCCCACUGGAAGGUGACAUAACCAUUCCCACUGGAAGGUGACAUAACCAUUCCCACAGUAGAGUGACAUAACCAUUCCCACAGUAGGGUGACAUAACCAUUCCCACAGUAGAGUGACAUAACCAUUCCCACAGUAGAGUGACAUAACCAUUCCCAUAGUAGAGUGACAUAACCAUUCCCACUGGAAGGUGACAUAACCAGUCCCAUAGUAGAGUGACAUAACCAUUCCCACUGUGGAGUGACAUAACCAUUCCCAUAGUAGAGUGACAUAACCAUUGGAAAUGCACUAUAGAUGUUCAUACACAAUUUAUAGAGUAUGACACAUAGUUUGUAGAUAAUUUGUGAAUUAAUUAUGUGGUGCUUAUGAAGCCUUUAUGUGGUGCUUAUGAAGCCUUUAUGUGGUGCUUAUGAAGUCUUUAUAUGGUGCUUAUGAAGCCUUUAUGUGGUGCUUAUGAAGCCUUUAUGUAUGCUAUAUAUGCCUUUAUAAAUUAUACUUUGUUUAAAGUGGGACCGUUAAUCCUAAUCCUGUCUAAUAGAGGUCUAGGAUAAUGUUGAGCCUGUGUUUUAAUCCUAACCCUGUCUAAUAGAGGUCUAGGAUAUUGUUGAGCCUGUGUUUUAAUUCUAACCCUGUCUAAUAGAGGUCUAGGAUAUUGUUGAGCCUGUGUUUUAAUCCUAACCAUGUCUAAUAGAGGUCUAGGAUAUUGUUGAGCCUGUGUUUUAAUCCUAACCAUGUCUAUUAGAGGUCUAGGAUAUUGUUGAGCCUGUGUGAGUCUGUUUAUCAAAGAAUGUGAGGUGUUUUUCUCAUAACAAAGAACUGUGCUGGUUUCUCUUCUCA